rnacentral:rRNA from 1 species
GUAGGGAAUAUUGGACAAUGGCUGAAAAGCUGAUCCAGCCAUCCCGCGUGAAGGCAGAAGGUCCUUUGGAUUGUAAACUUCUUUUCUCUGGGAAGAAAUCACGGGUUUCUACCUGUGUUGACGGUACCAGAGGAAUAAGCACCGGCUAACUCCGUGCCAGCAGCCGCGGUAAUACGGAGGGUGCAAGCGUUAUCCGGAUUCACUGGGUUUAAAGGGUGCGUAGGCGGGCUUGUAAGUCAGUGGUGAAAGCCCGGGGCUCAACUUCGGAACUGCCAUUGAUACUGCAGGCCUUGAGUACAGUUGAGGUGGGCGGAAUACAUCAUGUAGAGGUGAAAUUCUUAGAUAUGAUGUAGAACACCGAUUGCGAAGGCAGCUCACUAAAGUGUAACUGACGCUGAGGCACGAAAGCGUGGGGAUCAAACAGGAUUAGAAACCCCUGUAGUCC